rnacentral:other from 1 species
GUAACUCUGAGGUGUGCGCGAACGGUCAGUCCCCUGAGCCGAUAUUCCAAAACUUAGAAUGUUACGAUUGUUAACCGGUGUGUAAGCCCAGCUUGUACUGGGAAACCUAAAAGUUAAAGCGUAUCGUUCACCUUGAACCUAGGGUUCAAGGGUUACAACCUGAAACGGCAUCUUGGAGCUCUA